rnacentral:rRNA from 1 species
AUGGUUAAGUGACUAAGCGUACACGGUGGAUGCCUUGGCAGUCAGAGGCGAUGAAAGACGUAUUAACUUGCGAUAAGCCCAGAUUAGGUAGUAAAAACCAUUUGAGUCUGGGAUUUCUGAAUGGGGAAACCCACGUGCAUAAGCACGUAUCACUACAUGAAUACAUAGUGUAGUGAGGCGAACCGGGAGAACUGAAACAUCUAAGUACCCCGAGGAAGAGAAAUCAACCGAGAUCCCGAAAGUAGCGGCGAGCGAAAUUGGGUUAGCCCUUAAGCUUUUAAUGAGACAGGUGAAGGCUCUGGAAAGUGCCGCGAUACAGGGUGAUAGCCCCGUAACCGACAUCUCAUCAUCAGUGAAAACGAGUAAGGCGGGACACGUG